rnacentral:rRNA from 1 species
CCUGUAAGACUGGGAUAACUCCGGGAAACCGGGGCUAAUACCGGAUGCUUGUUUGAACCGCAUGGUUCAAACAUAAAAGGUGGCUUCGGCUACCACUUACAGAUGGACCCGCGGCGCAUUAGCUAGUUGGUGAGGUAACGGCUCACCAAGGCGACGAUGCGUAGCCGACCUGAGAGGGUGAUCGGCCACACUGGGACUGAGACACGGCCCAGACUCCUACGGGAGGCAGCAGUAGGGAAUCUUCCGCAAUGGACGAAAGUCUGACGGAGCAACGCCGCGUGAGUGAUGAAGGUUUUCGGAUCGUAAAGCUCUGUUGUUAGGGAAGAACAAGUGCCGUUCAAAUAGGGCGGCACCUUGACGGUACCUAACCAGAAAGCCACGGCUAACUACGUGCCAGCAGCCGCGGUAAUACGUAGGUGGCAAGCGUUGUCCGGAAUUAUUGGGCGUAAAGGGCUCGCAGGCGGUUUCUUAAGUCUGAUGUGAAAGCCCCCGGCUCAACCGGGGAGGGUCAUUGGAAACUGGGGAACUUGAGUGCAGAAGAGGAGAGUGGAAUUCCACGUGUAGCGGUGAAUGCGUAGAGAUGUGGAGGAACACCAGUGGCGAAGGCGACUCUCUGGUCUGUAACU